rnacentral:rRNA from 1 species
AACGAACGCUGGCGGCAUGCCUAACACAUGCAAGUCGAACGAGACCUUCGGGUCUAGUGGCGCACGGGUGCGUAACGCGUGGGAACCUGCCCUUAGGUUCGGAAUAACUCCCCGAAAGGGGUGCUAAUACCGGAUAAUGUCUUCGGACCAAAGGUUUAUCGCCUUUGGAUGGGCCCGCGUUGGAUUAGCUAGUUGGUAGGGUAAAAGCCUACCAAGGCGACGAUCCAUAGCUGGUCUGAGAGGAUGAUCAGCCACACUGGGACUGAGACACGGCCCAGACUCCUACGGGAGGCAGCAGUGGGGAAUAUUGGACAAUGGGCGAAAGCCUGAUCCAGCAAUGCCGCGUGAGUGAUGAAGGCCUUAGGGUUGUAAAGCUCUUUUACCCGGGAUGAUAAUGACAUUACCGGGAGAAUAAGCUCCGGCUAACUCCGUG